UUUUUUUUUUUUCGUUUUUAGUACUUGAAGUUGACAAAGGUAAAAGUUUGAUAAUAUGGCUCUUCAUGAUUAUGUCACGUCAUCGCUUAAAAAUUAAAAAUUUUAAUUAAUGAUAUGAUAUAAUCGCAAAAUGUUACGUAAUUAAAUCUUAAUAGAAUCAAGUUUAGAGAGUAAAUUGAAACUUAAUUGCCGAGGUUAUCUAUCAAAAUGGACCCAAAAAAGUAUAUGUACCAACUGUACCUAAUUAUCAAAUACAAGAACUAAAAAUCAUACAAACCCUUUAAAAAAUGUAUUGUUUCAAUCUACAUUUUAAAACGUGGCAAAUCAACAUUUAGUUUACAAUUUAUUUAUUUAUUUGCUUCACAAUUUAAUUCAUUAACAACUAAAUUAAUCAUGUGGGACUAAUUUUGUCAGGUUAUUUUUAAACUUUUUAAUUAGACAUGUUGUUCAAGGUAAAACCUAAUACUUCCAACACUGUUUUAGUUAGAAAAUUCUUUAAUGAAUUUUUUAUUUUAAAUAAUCUCGAUCAUAUCUAUUUUUUCUCAGACAAUAUUUAAAACUAUCUGUAGUCUCUUACCAACUCAAAAAUAGAAGAAAAAUGCGUUUCGGCGUACCCGAACACAUGUCCUCCUAUAUUAACAACAAUACCCAUACUAAUCAAACUUUUUUAAUAGAGUUAUUUAGUUAGACACUUUUAAUACAUUUAUUGUAUAAAACUUUAAUAAUUUCUUACAUCUACGCAACAACUAUAUUAAUAUAUUCUUAAUUGACUCCAAAUAAUUGACUCAAUUAUGUAUAAUCUUUAAAUAAGAAUAAAUUUUGGUUCCUCGUAUACAGUCAUAUGGAGGUAGGUCAUUCUUCCCUGCACGUUACACCAUGUGAAUAAAUUGGGCAAAAAUGCAUCUAUAAAAAGUCAAAAUUAUUAAUUAGACCUUGAUUAUAAUUAGUAAAAGUUUUAAAUUCGUGUUUUUAUUAUUUUAGGUUCGAUUUUCACUUUGUGCAAAUUGUGCGUGAAUUAUUUUUAAAGUCAUUGUAUGUAAUGGUAGCCGCCGAGGUUUUUAAAAUCAAAUAGUAAUUAAAUCAACCGUCAAUUCAUAAUUCAUUUUAAUUUUAUUUAAUUAAAUUAUUAAACAUUUGAUUUAAUUAAUUUUUUAAUCUAAGUAAUACACGCUUCGCUCAAAUAUCGAUUUAAAAUUUAUAAUAAUUAAUUCUCAAUGUAAUCCAUCCGAGUAGUCAUGAUAGUUGUAGAAGGAAAAAAGUCAAAACCUCUUACUUUCGUAGCAAUUCAGUCUCUUGUAAUCGAGAUAUGAGAGACGUAGGCAUUAUCAUCUACGCAACCUUAAAUUUAAAAAACAUAUGUACACACAUGUAUUAUGUGAUUUCUGUUAAUAAAUGUCCCAAUAUCUUUUAUUAUUUUACAGUAAUAUCCUUCAAGACAACUAUUAAUUUUCUAAUUAGAAAUGGGUUCAGUUUUAUCGAUUCAGUAUUAGUUUUAUUAAUAUUGGUAUUAUUGACAAUACAUGAGAAUGUGAGUUCGAGUGCAUUAAAACGUAUUAUCCUCCUAUUUAAGGGUUGGGGCUGGGCUAUGGAUAGUUCUAAGAUUACGUGAUUGACAAAAUAACCAGAUAGUUACACGUGGCAUGCCACGUCAGUUUUUAAAAUUUUAAUCUAACUCUACGGUUAACAGUUGACAUGCCACAUGUACCUUAUGCUAGUGUAUAGAGAUAAUUUUUUAACGAUAAAAAUAGAUGAAAUUUUUAUAAAAAAACCAAUUUACUCUUUGAUCUAACAUAUAUGAACUAAUUAACCCAAUUUUUAAUUAAAAAUACAAUCCGAUAAUUAAUACAAAAAUCUCUAUAAUAAUUUAUCAAAUUUAAAUCCAUAAUUACUUAAAUUAAGUAUUAAAACACCCAUAUUUAUCUCGUUUAUAAUAAUUAGAUUACAAAGAUUAAAUUGAAUCCCAAUUUUUCAAACUCGAAUAGUUUAUUAUGGAGAUUAUUUUCACAGACACAAACAAAAAUGUGCGUAUAUUCAAUGAAAAUUGGUAUAUUCUUCCAAAGUUUGGACCAUAUGUUGGUCCAAUUAUAUUCAACCAUUUUGGAUGGACCUCGUUUGUAUUUGAUGGUGUUUCUCAAUUAUCAAUAUUGAAUAAUUUGAUUAUUCGUAAUUUAAUCUCUGUUAAAUUCGAAAGUGAGCAGUUAAUUAGGGAUAAUUAAUAGCAACGUUAUUAUUUUUCGUCAAUUAUACAUAAUUUAGCCUUCUAUGUUUAUAUAUUCUGUAUAAAUGUUGUAAAUUAAAUUUGUUAAUCUAGGAUCAAGUUGAUAGAAUGCGUAAAUUUUGUAGGUUCAAUUUGUUAAAUCAAGACCAAAUCCAUAGUAUGUGUAAGCUUUGAGGGUAAAUUUUGUUAUUAUACCUACUUACUUUCAAAAUUAAUUCGAAUUAAAUUGCUCUAUUUUUUAGACUAACCAAUUUGCUCAAUAUUGAAAACGAGAGAGAUUGAAGAAGUCUUUUUACCUGUAAUUUCGAAUUUAUUGAUAAAACAUAUAUUAAUACACAACACAAAUACCGAAUCAAUUAAAACUAGAAAAACUUAAUACAUAGUAUAAUAGAUUGAAAAUUGAAAUAUCCGCGCCUAAAUUAUUAUAAAUCUAGACAAAACUCGAAUUAAAAACUUAAACCCAAAAUCUUAAAAUUCUUAAAACUUUGUAUUACUGUUAAGCUAAUAUCGGCCAUAAUUUUAAUUUUAAAAAUUGAAACUCUAUAAUUGUGUUGUACCAAAUUGAAAAUUAUCUCAAUUUGUACAAAACAAGUCAGCCAAUCAAUCAUAAUGUUAAUACCAAAAAAAGAACAACAAAAUUUCAAAAUGUGGCCCAAAAUUGAUAGAUCAUUAAGAAUUGUGGGUCCAGGUCAGAUUUAGUCCAUAGUCACAGACAUGGUAAGAAAAAUUGGAAGACUGAAUUUAAAAUCUAGUCCUUAUAUCAAUAAUAUUUGGGCCCAUAAAUUUGUUUUUUUCAGUUAUUUGGUCCUCAAAUUUAAUGACUAAUUGACAAUAAAGGAGGAGUUAAGCACUAUAGUUCGACAUCAAGCCUAGGACACAAACAUAGGCAGGGGCAGAGCCAAGGAGCGUUGGCAGGAGCCAUGGCCCCUUAAAAUACAAAUUUUCAUAUUUAGUUUUUUGUAAUUUUAAAAAAUUUAAAUUAAUAUAUGGUAAAAUUACACUUUUUCCUUAAAAAAAGGAAAAAUUUGAUUUAAUCCUUUAAAAAUUAUAAAGAUGUAGGCUAUUAAAAUAGUGAAAUUUCACUUUUCUAUUGUAAAAAUAUACAAUUUAAUUCAGGCCCCCUUAAAAAAUUUUCUGACUUCGCCUCUAAACACGAGUAAAAACAUCAUAGCAAUUCUUGUAUUAUAUUUAAAAUUGUAUUUUAAAUUUUUAUCAAAAAAUAAAUAAAUUAAUUUAUAUAUGUUGAAUAAAUGAGUAAAAUAUUUUUUUAUUAAAUUGUACCUUUAAUUAUAUAUAUAUAAAAGGUGUAGUAAUAAUUUAAUCAUCAAUUUUUAUACUUAUAUUUAAUUUGACCCUUACAAAUAUACUUUCUAACAUAAAGAUUUUUUUUCUAAAAAAUACAUUUUUAUAUUUUUAAAUAUUUUUCUUAAUUAUAAAAACAUUUUUAGAAUAAACUUGAAUUUUUUUAUUUUUAAUGUAUUUUUAUGAAAGUAUGAAAUAGAAAAGGUAAAGAAUGAUUAGAAUAUUUAGGAACAAUAUUUGAUGCACUUUUGUUUUGGUGCAUAAAUCUCAUGCACUAUUAGUGAAUAAUAACAUAAUACGUUAUCAUUAAAUUAAACAAAAAAAUAUAAAAGAUAUUUUUUUUAAAAAAAAAAAAGAUGAAAGACUUUUAAAUAAACACUAAUAAAUUUAUUUAAAUAUACUUAAAUAUUAAUCAUAACUAUUGUAAAUAAAUAUUAAUGACUCUCAGUUUAGGAUCUUGGGUUUAAUGUUUAGAGUUUUAAUAUUUAAUUAUAUUUAAAUAAAGUUAUUAGUAUUUAUUUAUAAGUCCUCCACAGUUUUUUGUUUUAUUUAAUGAUCAUGUGUCAUAUUAUUAUUCACCGAUAGUGUAAGAGACUUCUGCAUCGAUAAUGCAUCAAAUAUUUUCCCAAUUAAGUUAAUCCAUAAGUUUAUGUUCAUCAUGUUUUUUUAAUAAUCUUUUUCAUAAUUUGCUUUUAAUAUUUUAUUUUCUUAUUUUUUUAACUAAAAUUCUUUUACAUUUCUAAUUCCUUAAAAGUUUUUUUUAUUAAAAAUUUGAAAAACGUUCAUGGUUGUCUCUGUUAUAAUUUUUAAAUUAUUUACUGAUGUGACAUAUAAAAUAAAAUACUGUCAUAUCAAUAAUGAAAUAUUGAAGGUCAAUUGACUCUAAAUAAAGAAUAGUGGUUAAAUUAAAUAAAUAUGCUAAUAUCGAGAGUUAAAUUUGUUAUUAUACUUUAUAUAUAGAACAAUAUGUUUUGCUCCUCCAUCUACCCUAAAGGGAUCAAUUUGCUACAUUUUUUAAAUUAGAAGACCAAAUUGCCAUAUCAAAUAUAGUAUAAGAUUGCUAUAGUACUUUUACUAAUUAGAAUCCUACUUUUAAACUUUGUAUUGAAAAUUGAUAAUAUUAAGGCUAAAUUAUGCAUAUAGUCAUCUAACUAUAAUUUUUUUAUUUUAUUUUGGGCACCGAAAAUAAAAAGGUUUGCAAUUGAAGUACUCAUGCUACAUAGUUUGGUCAUUUUAGUUAUUGUUGUUAAAAUCACAAACGCCAAGCUAGCGUGACAGUUAAAAAAUGGUCUGAUAACAAAUUAGCUCUCUACUUUUACAUAUUAUUUUAGUCAGUAAUUUAAAAAAAAAUUAACCCUCAAAAUUUACAAAUAUUUUCAAUUUGACCUUAAUUCUAAAAAAUUCAAAGAAAUAUAUAAAAAUGCAUAAAUAAUUUAAAAAAAUAUAAUAAAUUUAAAAUUUCAAAGGAAUUCUAAGGGUAGCCAAGUAAAGGCUAAUAAAAAUGAUAAUUUUAAGGCUAAAUUUAAGGAAAUCAAAAGGCUAAUAGUAAGGUUAAUUUUAAGGAAGUUCUAGUCAACAUAAUAAAAAAUUAAAAACUAUCCAGUUUUCUAAUUAGUAACAUUGUUGGAAAAAUUGGUUUAGAAAAUGAUUUUACAGUUAUAACAGAAGAUUUAAAAAUUUUCAAAAUCGAGUUAUUUUGUGAUAUUUAUAAUAAUAAACCUUAACUAAAUAGUACUUGUGCUUUGUGUGAGACAACCUAAAGUCAAUCCUAACUUUUAAUUGAACAACCUUUUAUAUUAUCAUUUUAGGUCAACCGGUACUCUCUAUUAUAAAGGGAAGUACAACAAUCUUGGUUGAACAAGUCAUUGAUAAAUAAUAUUAUUUAAAUAGAAAGCACACUAUAGUCUAAUUGAGAGAGAGGAGGGCGGCACACCCUAGUUAAUUUUACUAUAGUUGUCACCCCUCAUAUCUCAUGUAUUGGAUCCAAUUAUAUGUGCUUCUUGAAUUUUUGGCUCAACACUUUAUAAUUUAACCAAACUUAAUAUUUAUUUUCUAUUUCCUCAAAUAAAUAUUAUUGAUUUAGUUAAUUUAAAAUUAAUUUCUCAAUUAAAAAAAAUUCUUAACUCAAUUCUAAUUUCGUUAAAGUCAUAACAACUUUACCGUAAAAGAAUCUAAUAAAUUACCUUAUUUAUAAUGACUAAUUAAUUUAGUUUCAUUUUUGAGCAUUGAUUAUUUAAUUAUAAUAAAUUAAAUAAUAAUUCGAAAAACCUUAAAUUAGUUCUAAAGUUAUUUUUGUACUCAGCGAGAAAACGCAUAUACUACAAAUGCAACACAUUUCUAUUACUUCAUCGUUUACAUGCAUUUCUAUUCAUUCUGUUUUACAUUCAAUUCAUUUCUAACUUCAACGAGAUAAUAGAGGGACUGAUUGAACAUAUAUAAUUAGGACUCAAAAUAGUUUAUAAUUAAGUUUUGACUUUUCACCUAUUAAUUAUAAACUUAUUUAGUCAUAAAGUUAUUCCACUAAAGUAUUGGGAUUGAGUUAUCCCUAAUUAUAUAACAUUAUAAAAGCUACUUAAUAAGUGCUCGUCCAAUGAUCUUGUUAUAAAUGAGAUAAAUUUGUUCUUCCAAUAUAAUCCUAUUUUAUCUCACAAUAACUAUUACAUCUUUCUUCAUAAAAAGUCAACUAUUAUUAGAUACUAAUUAAGUCAUUUAUCACAAAGAUAAAUGACCCAUGAUCAUGUUUACUAUUCAUCCAUCAUGUAAUGUCGAUGAGAAAAUAUCAUUUACCCUUUAGUUGGGCUAUGAAUUCCAUUAUUAUGGAGUGAUACUACAUACUACAGAAAUCGUACACCAAACGCACCAGCUUUCGGUUCCUUAUCUAUUUAAACUCAUGCUUUCACUUGUAUCAAAGUAUAUGAGUCACACAUACAAAGCUCAUCAUCCACUCAGUAUUAAAGUAUGUCACACUAUGAAUGUCACAAAUGAAUAAAUCCAUAAAUGGAUUUAAAAUUUAUUAUAUUGGGUCUUAUCUGAUUUACUUUUAGUUCAGUCAAUCACAUCUAACUCUCUAUCUUUUAGGAAUCAUCUUCUCUAAUGCUCAAUAUAAAGUAUCUCCCUAAUUGGACUUGAUAAACGAUAUAUUAGACAUUCAAUUAGUUUGUUUAUUUUUAACUAGACUAAUGACAUAUUUAGAUUAUCUACUAAUAUAAAUCGUCUAUCAGUAUUACGAUCUAACCACGUAAUACCACUUAAUAUUAGUUAAACGUUAAAUAAUCAACAUGUCAAUAUUUGCUUGCACUUUACUUUGUGUGCAAAACUUAUAAAAAGACUAUUAAUAUAAUCAAUAAAUAUUUUAUAAAAUUAAUUUAUUCAAAAAAAUACAACUAUACAUCAACGAAAACAUUAUACUAAAAACAUUAAAUCCGAACAAUAAACACUUUCUAUCUAAAAUACUUUUAGAAAACACUUUCCACAUCAACAUAAAAUCAGCCAAAAUCCCAAAAUAUUUUAGAAAUCGAUAUAUAUACCCAUCAUUUUGCCAUUAUUUGUUGUUGUUAUUAUUAAUUUUGCAUGGACAAACAAAUUUGGUCCACAGUUCAUUCUUUUUCUUACAUGUCUUGUCUCUCUUGUUUUUUAAUUUAUUUUAUUAUUUAAUGAUUUUAGUGCUCAAAAGCCAACUUGGAAGAAAAUGACCAAUUGGAAUUUUAAAAUUGACAACACAACUUUUUUGUCUUUUUAAGUUUUUCUUCUGAUUUUGAUGUCAACUAAAGUCGAAUAUUAUAUUACUUUACUUAUAUUUAAUAAUGUUGUUUCUCACGUGUCAGUGAAAUUAUUAGAAUUUCUUUUUACAAGUCUCCUCUUAUGAUAUUGGUUAGAUAAAAGAAAUUUAAUAUUUCAAGUUUCGGGUUUUAUUUUGCAUAAAUUAUAUAUGAGUUAUUUUUAGAUUUAUUAUAUAUAUGUCGUAUUCAAUUUUAUUAAGAUAUUAAUUUAAAUAUAUUUUAAUUAUCGACUAAUAAUUAUAUCGUAAAUGUAAUUUUAUUUAAGAUCGUAUAUUUUGACUUAACCAAUAACUGUUUUUGAAUUGUUAAAUUCUUUAAUAAAAGAGUUAUUAGUAGUAAUGGCUUUGGAUCGGUUGGUUAGAGUGUUGAUAUAAGGAUCAACUCGAUGUUUAAGUGAGCUGUUCAAAAUCGGUAAAAAUCAAAAAUUGAGAUAAAAAUUGAUAAUUGAAUCAAUUUUGUAAAUUUGUUUAUUUAUUGUUGAGCCUAUGAUCGAAUAAGAAUCAAUAAUUUAAUUGGUUGAACCACAAUUGGAUCAUUAAAAGUUUUUUUUUAAAAGAUAUUAUUUUGUUAAGGUGUAAAGAAUGAUUAGAAAAAUGGAAUAAACCACUUUCAAUAAUAAUAAAAUAAGUGAUGCACUUUUUGUUUGAAUACAACGAUAAAUUUAGUUUCUAAGGUCUUUUCAAUAAUAAUAAGAUAUUAAUGUGGUCAUUUGCAUUAUAAUCCAUGUAAUUCAUAAAAAUUCAAUUUUUUUUAAAAAAAUCAACAAAUUUCAAAAAAUUCAUAAAAACCUUUAGAAAAUUAUCUAUGUUAGCAAUAAAGUAUAUCUAAAAUUCCACAUCAGCUGCCACAUUAAUGCCAUUAAAAUUUUAACAGUUCUGUUAGUUUUCCUGUCUAAAAGCAAACAGUUUGACUAAAUGUUGAAGGUUGUGACCCAAUAAAGAAUAAUGGUCAAAAUAGAUAAAUGUUAAGGGUUAAAUUUAUCUUUAUGAUUUUUAUUUUAUCAAAUUAAGCUAUGAUUAGCACUUCGAAACAAAAAUUAUAAUCCAUUAUUUCACCAAUUAUUUUCAUUAAAAUUAUUAAUUUAAUACUGAUUAAGUCUUAGCUCAAUUAACAUCGGCAUCCACAUUAUUGCUAAUAUAAGGUGACAUAGCUUUAAACUUGCUAAAACGCCUUUAUCUUUAGCUUUUAUCUUUCUAUUUAGAAGUUGAAAAAUAUUACCAUUUAAUAAUAUUUUUUAUUUAAUAAAAAAAUGUUUUUUUAAAUAUUUUAUUUGAUCUAUGGAUAAGUUUAAUUCACCCAAACCAGAAUUAUAUAAAAAAAUAUUCUCAGUUUGCUUUUAACUGGUUACUGUAAUUUCUAGUGAAAAUAUGGAAACUUUUUUUCCAAUUUAAAUUGAAGAAAUAAAUAAAAAAAUAUUUUUUAAUGAACGGACCGCUGAGAUUAACCAAUCAUCUGCCACCUUCAACCUUCCUGGUACAAUCAUCAUCAUCUUUUUAACACAUUAAUUUCUAUUCAUUCCAAAACAAAACAAAGCAUACUUUUCUAUCAUUUAACUCUAAAAAGUUAGUCUUUCUCUUUCUGAGUCAGCUCGGGUACUUCAUUCAUCUUUUGAAUUUUUAUUAUUUAUUUUUAUAGCUAGUCUCAAUGUAUUUUAAUGGGUUUUUAAGAUCAUUUCUAUCUGGGUUUAUGUCUAUAUAAAACAUCUUAUUUUAUGUUUUACGUUUUAUGCUGUCCAAAGAUUUGUUUUUGUUUUCUUUUUAAAUGUUAUGUACUGUUCAAAGGUAUUAUUUUUAUGUUAUGAACUGUUGUAAAAUGUUAUCUUUUUGUUAUUAUAAAGCCCCAAAGUUUUAAGUUUUAGUUUAAACCCAGUUUUACUUAUGUUUGAUGCUGUAUUACUUUUUAUGUUCUUAGGGAAUUUUGUUUUAUGUUAUUGUUAUUAUAAUGUCUAAAACAAUUUUGGUUUUUUAUUUUAAUCCCUGUUUUCACUAUGUUUGACGCUGUACUUUUUGAUGUUUUAAGGUCUUUAGGUUGGGAAUUUGAUAGUCAUGGAUGGUUGGCUGAAGGGAUCUAAUAGUUUUGUGGAUAGGGUAGGACUAAAUGACGGUACGGUCUUAGCUUUAUCCGGUCGGGAUUUCGAUAACCGGUUUAAGAAUGAGAAAUGUGUCGAUAUUCCUUCUUCGGAACCUGUUAUGAUUCCGGGAAAUUCAGGGAACGUAGUGUCUUCCUUGGGAACUUGUUCUGAUAGAGUUGGACUACAUGAUGGUACAGUGUUGGCCUUAUCCGGUCGGGAUUUUGCUAGCCAGUUUAAGAAUGAGAAUUAUGUUGAUGUUCUUCCUUUGGAACAUGUUAUGGUUCCGGGAAAUUUAGUGCCUUCCUUUGGAACCUGUUCUGAUAUAGUUGGACUAAAUGUUGAUAACCAACCUGUUCCGAUUCCGGGAAAUUCAGUGCCUUCCUCGAGUGUGAACGAGGGAGAUUUGCAUGAGGAUUUUGACUUUAGCGAUGAAGUUCUUAAGUACAUAAGUCAGAUGCUUAUGGAAGAAGAUAUGGAAGAUAAGACUUGUAUGUUUAAAGAGUCAUCGGCAGCACUUCAGGCUGCCGAGAAAGCGUUUUAUGAGGUUCUCGGAGAGAGGUAUCCACCUUCUCCUGAAUAUGAUGGUGAUCAAAACCAAGAAAGCUCCGAUGAAAGUCAUGGUCAAAAUUGUUGGGGAUGUAGUAGUGCAAGCAUUAGUAGUGGUAGCGUAGUUGAUCCCGGUCACAAUCACGAUUUCAGUGAGCAAAGGGCUCUGAACUUCCCAUCCCAGGCUAGUUCAUCUCAUAGCUCGGGAAACAGUACUGGUAGUGUGGUAGAUGGAUAUGCAGAUUCUCCGGUAAGUACUGUUAGGCUUCCGGAAAUAUUUAACAAUAGUGAGUCUGCCAUACAAUUCAGAAAAGGCUUCGAGGAAGCGAGUAAGUUCCUCCCGAAUGGUGGAAGCUUGUUUGUUCACGGGGAGAAUGACGGAUUGUUUCUCAAAGAGCUAAAGGAAGAGACUAAAGAUGUGGCAGUAGAUAAGGUGGAUAAGGAUGAGAUUUCCCGGGAUGGAUCAAGGGGAAAGAAAAAACCUUAUCCUGAGGAUCUGAGUCUAGAGUGUGGGAGGAGUACCAAGCAAUCUUUAGUUUAUACUGAGUCUGCUGUAAGCCCUGAAAUGUUUGAUAUGGUGCUACUAAAUUGUCAAAGUGUAACCGAGCUUCAAAAAGUUUUGCAAGAUGAAACGAGCAAGAAUGUGCAACAGAACGGACAAUUGAAAGGGUCUAAUGGUGGAAAGGCACGUGGGAAGAAACAUGGUGGUAAAAGGAACAUGGUGGAUUUGAGAACUCUCUUAACCCUUUGUGCACAAGCCGUUGCAGCUGAUGAUCGGAGGAGUGCUAAUGAGCUAAUCAAGCAAAUCAGGCAGCAUUCUUCACCUAUGGGUGAUGGGAUGCGGAGGAUAGCUCACUAUUUCAUUGAUGGCCUAGAGGCACGCUUAGCUGGUUCCGGGACCCAAAUUUACACUGCGCUUAUCACAAAGCCGACUUCAGCCGCUGAUGUGUUGAAAGCCCACCAUCUGUUUCUUGCUGCUUGUCCUUUUAAGAAGCUCUCAAAUUUCUUCUCAAAUAAGACUAUAAUGAAUCUAGCUGAAGAUGCUGCUAGGCUUCAUAUUAUUGAUUUUGGUAUUCUAUAUGGUUUCCAAUGGCCUUGCCUUAUACGACGUCUCUCGUCUAGACCUGGUGGACCGCCUAAGUUAAGGAUUACAGGGAUUGAUCUUCCACAACCGGGUUUUCGGCCGGCAGAAAGGGUGGAAGAGACAGGGCGCCGUCUUGCAAACUAUGCUGAAACAUUCAAAGUUCCGUUUGAGUUCCAUGCUAUUGCUCAGAAGUGGGACACCAUUCAAAUUGAGGACCUUGGGAUUGAUCGUGAUGAAGUACUUGUUGUGAACUGUAUGUACAGGCUUAGAAAUCUACUAGAUGAGACCGUGAUUGUGGAGAGUCCAAGGAUUAAGGUUCUUAACUUGAUCAGGAAGAUGAAUCCUGAUGUUUUCAUACUGGGGAUUGUGAAUGGUGCUUAUAGUGCUCCGUUCUUUAUCACGAGAUUUAGAGAGGCUCUCUUCCACUUUUCUACUUUAUUUGAUAUGCUCGAGACUAACGUCCCUCGCGAAAUUCCAGAACGGAUGCUGAUUGAAAGAGAGAUAUUUGGAUGGGAGGCAAUGAAUGUCAUUGCAUGCGAGGGUGCUGAAAGGAUUGAGAGGCCCGAGACUUACAAGCAGUGGCAGAUGAGGAACACAAGGGCUGGUCUCAGACAGUUGCCUCUGAAUAAGGAGAUUAUGAAGAUAGCAAAGGAGAGGGUAGAUACAGGAUACCAUAAGGACUUUGUAAUCGAUGAGGAUAAUCGCUGGCUGCUCCAAGGAUGGAAAGGACGAACUGUUUAUGCACUCUCGACUUGGGUUCCUGCCCCUUAGAAGGUAAAGUCUUGUGAAGUCCUUUACGGUCGGAUUGCAGCCAUUGAUGGAUUCCACAUAUAUGGAGACAAGGUGUGGAAAACAUCUCCCCUCUCACAGUCUCUUGCAUGCAUGACACAUUUAGACAUAAAGAUGCACGAAAACAUGGAUUACUGUGCAUGCAAUUGAUAUGAAAAAUUGAUAUUGAUGAUCUGAUUGCUGCAUUUUCCCAACAGGUUACAUAAAUAAGAAACCAGAGGCUGCUUACUGGUAUGGAAAACAUCUCCCCUCUCACAGUCUCUUGCAUGAUGACACAUUUAGACAUAAAGAUGCAUGAAAACAUGGAUUACCGUGCACGCAAUCGAUAUGAAAAAUUGAUAUUGAUGAUCUGUUUGCUGCAUUUUCCCAACAGGUUACAUAAAUAAGAAACCAGGGGCUGCUUACUGGUAUUUAUCGAAAAGGUGAAUCCAUCAUGUACCGAAUUGCUAACAUGUACCAGAGAAUAAUAGCCGGUGGUAAGAUGUAUUAGAUCGAAGCUAGCGGUUUAGGUGAAUGUUAAGUAGGUCCGACCGUCUUGAGUUUCUUGUUGUAUUGGCCAGACGAGGUAGUGUUAAGUAGGUCUGACAAUCUGAGUUUCAAAUCCCGACAUCAUUAUCCUCUUAUUCUCAUAUUCAAAUGCAAUGAAGUUCAUUAAUGUAUUUUCUUUUAAAGCUAUAAGUACUUACAAAUAUCAAAAAAAUGAAAAAACAAAUAAAAAUCUCCGUUGUUGCUUUCUGCAGAAGUGUCUUCAUUUACAAAAAGAGAAAACCAAUUCUAGUCUCAUCGUAUAUAGGUUCGGCCUAAAGAUGUAUUAGAUCGAAGCUAGUGGUUUAGGUGAAUGUUAAGUAGGUCCGACCGUCUUGAGUUUCUUGUUGUAUUGGCCAUACGAGGUAAUGUUAAGUAGGUCUGACCAUCUGAGUUUCAAAUCCCGACAUCAUUAUCCUCUUAUUCUCAUAUUCAAAUGCAAUGAAGUUCAUUAAUAUAUUUUCUUUUAAAGCUAUAAGUACUUACAAAUAACAAAAAAAUGAAAAAACAAAUAAAAAUCUCCGUUGUUGCUUUCUGCAGAAAUGUCUUCAUUUACAAAAAGAGAAAACCAAUUCAAGUCUCAUCGUAUAUAGGUUCGGCCUAAAGACCAGAGUCCCGUAUCUUUAACUGGUGUCUGAAAAAACAAGUGAAAGUAUUGUAAAAAUAGAAGCUUUUAGAAUCUUAUAGAACUGAACUGUGUGUUGUCUGGUAAUGAUACUUACUGGUGUUUUCACAGAUGGGAAGACAUUCCAAAACCUUAAAGUCUCAUCCCCUGCACCAGUCACUAUGGUCUGCAUGAAAAGAUGAAAAAAACAGUUAUUAUACUAAAAUGAAUUGUUUUCAACCUUUGAGAGUACGAUUCAUUGUUAAGGAAACGUUACCUGUCCAUCAGGCGACAUGGCUAGGUAGAGGACCCGAAAACUAUGGCCUGUUAGAGUUGCAACCUUUGCCAUUGAUGGAUAUUUCCACACCAUAAUUUGAUUUUGAGAGUAUCCAUGAGUGCUAACUAUUUCAUUCACAUUCUUACUCCAUGAUAGAUUGCAUACUUGGCUCCCUGUGUCUAUGUUGUUCAAUUGGUGACCAUUAGUAGUGUUCCAAAACCGAAUACAUCGGUCCGCAGUUCCACCACCCGAUGCAAGAAGGUUGCUUUGAUGGGGUGACCAAGCAAUGGCUUUCACAGCGGCUGUAUGUUCAGUCAAUUUAAGAAUUGGUUGCUGUGAAUGCUGGUUCCAAACCAAAAGCUGAUUAUCAUUCCCACCAGAAGCAAGUUCACGGUCAUCAUGUGACCAUUUCAAUCCACAAACCUCGGAUUUAUGCCCAACAAGCUUGCUAACGUAAUCACUCGAAACUCGAAGAUCAUGCUGAAGAAUGUUACGAUCCCUGCUUCCAGAUGACAGUAUCCGCGAAUUCCAAGCCAAGACACCGGUUCUUGUUUGAUGUCCACCCAUGGUUCGAACUUUCUUACACUGAGUUCCAUCCCAAACCUAUAUAUAACAAUCAAAAUGCUUAAACCUCAACCGUUUUUUACUCUAAUGGAUGACGAGUUCGAAACCGACAGUUAAUUACCUGAACUUGACCGAGAUUUGUACCGAUUGAUAUGUAAGAACCUUCCCGGGUCCAUUGAACAGCACAAACACUAUCAUUUGGUCCCAAAUCACACAACUUUGUUACCUAAGAGCAAAACAGAAACAUGUUAAAACUCUAAAUACAUUCAUUUGUUCUAAAUCCCUCAAAAGCAUAUAUAAACUUACUUUACUAUUGGAUGCAGUCCAUAAAUAAACACAAGUACCCAACCCAACAGCAAGUACAUUUUGAGAUGACCAAUCAACAAGGUUCAAAUAGAAAUCAUCUUGAAGUGAUGGAGCAUCAAGAACCUGCAUUCAUUUCAUUUCAACAAAUUUGACAUAAACUCGGGUAUGAAUCCGAUGCGGGUAUGAAAAGUAACUCGAAAAUCGAAAUAUGUUACCUUAUGGGGUGUCUUAGGGACUUUCCUAGGUGGUUUAGGAGGUGUAGAUGCUUCGCUAGAGAAACCACUAUCAUGCCCCAAAAUUGAAGGAGAAUAAGGUGAGUUUGGCCCCGAAUGUUCAGUUUUGAACCUCAACAUAUUCUUGUUAGGACUCAUAGGUGAACCUUGACCUGCAGGAGAAAAACAAGACCCGAAAUCAGAACCGAACAACUCAGAUUUUAAAAUCCGACAAUAAGCUUCAUUUCCCCCUUCUUUAGCAGGUGAUUCCUUUUCCAUUAACCCAAAAGUGUGUAGCCUUGAUGAAGAUCUACACGGGAUGAACCUAUCGCUACAAAUCGUCGAUUUCGACGAUGAUGGUGAACUUAAACUCGAUAUCAUCCGUGGUGAAGAUAUCGAAAUCGAACGAAGAGAAGAAGAACAAGGAGAAGAAGGGGAAGAAGUUUCUAGCCGGAGUGAAGUUUCGUUCAUCCCAGCAGGGAGGUUUAAACCACUUUUUCUCCUUUGUGAAGACUCCAUUUUUUGAGAUUUUUGGUUCCUUGCUUAGCUUGUGAGCUUCUUAAAAUUGGGUUUCGUUUAGAUUUUGAAAAUGGAGAUUAAAAAUGGAAGACUUUUUGGUGGAGAAAAGAGCUCCUAUAGGGUUUUCCAAAGGGGAUAUAUUUUUGGGGGAGGAGCUGAAAUUUCCUGCCUUUUCUUUAGAUCUGCAACGGUCACAUUUUGGUAGGGUAGAUUGUGUUUCUUUUUAUAUGUUUAGAAAAGGGGGAAAGGAGGAUGUCGUUUCGAGUUUUGUAGAAUUAAAAACGACAUGGGUCGUCGAAUUUUGAUACUAACGGUCAUUUUUCAUGAAUAUAUACAUGCAUGCAUACAUACAUACAUAUAUUAUAUCAAAGUUCGUAUCAUAAAGAGCUGUCAGAUUGAUUUAGUUACCAAGUAAUUUGCCAAAUAGCCGUUGCUUCUGAUUUUUUAUUUUUAUUUUAUUAAAAUUUUACCUUUUUUGUAUUUACAGAUAUUUAAUAUAUAAAUUCUUAAAAUAUUUAAUAUGUAAUAUUUUGAGAUUAUAUUAUAUUAUUACUUUAAAAAUUUAAAUAUAUAUAUAAAAUCUAAAAAAAAAUUAAAAAUUAUUUUUUGAAGCUUUUUAUAAAAAAAAUAAAAAAGAUGAUGUGAUACAAUAUUAAGGUGUCAUGUCAUCAUUCCUUAAGAAAUUUCAAGUUCAGGGACUAAAAUAAGAAAAACUGUCAACCAAUGUCAAAUCCAGGGACUAAACAUUAAUCUAUCCCACUUUUAAAAGCUUUCAUUUCUACAGUACCACUGACCACUGUAAGCUUGAAAGUUUUCAUGAAUAUAACAUGUUGAAGAAUAAGCUGUCGGAUUUUAUGUACUACAAUCUCUUCUCAACAUAGACUUUUACAAUGUGUAUCGCACUUGAUAUUGGCGAAGCCAGUCCUCUCCCUUCUCGUAAUAAUCUGACCUACUGAACGUUUGCUGAUGGAACCUUGAGUUUGCAGCAUACAGGGNNNNNN
rnacentral:lncRNA from 1 species